GGGUGUAGAAUAAGUGGGAGCUUCGGCAUCGUUGAAAUACCACUACCUUUAUCGUCUUUUUACUUAUUCAAUGAGGCGGAGCUGGGAUUAACAGUCCCACCUUUUGGCUUCAAGGUCUUUUACAGGCCGAUCCGGGUUGA
rnacentral:rRNA from 1 species